ensembl:lncRNA
AUAUUUAUACAUAUACACACACAUAUGUGUAUUUGCAUAUAUACAUAUAUGUGUAUAUAAUUUGCACAUAAAAGUAUAUAAUAAAUGGAUUUUUAAUUGAAUAUCUAUAAUGUGCUGAGCACUGUACUUUUAGGAAGUUAAAAAAGGUAAGAAAUAUUUUCUUUUCUUAAAAUGUAUUUAGCCUUAUUUAAGAAUCAAUGAGUCAAGGCAGCUAGGUGGCUCCGUGGAUAGAGCACCAGUCCUGAAGUUAGGGGGACUUGAGUUUAAAUCUGUUCUCAGACACUUAACACUUCCUAGUUGUGUGACCCUGGGCAAGUCACUUAAUCCCAAUUGCCUCAGAAAAAAAAUCUCUCCUCAAUUUAUUAAUAUCUUUUAUUAUUGUAUUACUUUGAUUUCUGAACAUUUCCCUCCUUUCUCUCCAACUCCAGUGAAUUGAAUCAGAUUUUGAAAAACAGAGGGGAAAAUAAAGUUCAACAAAGUUAGCCACCCCAAAGCUAAUUGCUAAGUUCUAUGAUAUAUUCACUAUUAUACAUUCAGACACCCAACUCUGCAAUGAGAAGAGUAAGGUACAUUUUCUCAAUUCUCUGGGGUCCAAGGUUGAUCAUUAUUAUGGAGCAUUCAGAUUCAGUUUCUUGAAAGUUUUUGUUCUUUCCAUUUACAUUGUUAUUAGCAUGCAUUUUAUUUCCUGAUUCUACCUAAUGUGACACUACAUCAGUUCAUAUAAGCUGUGGAAAAAGCUUUUCAAUGAUGGUGCCAAAUUUUGACAAUAACACAUAUUCUACCCUUUUCCUAACCUCUAGGACUGCUUUUCUGCAUAUUAUUUUUUGAAACUUUAAUUUCUCUGUUUCAGUACCUCAAGAAUUUGUGAUUAUUAUUGAGGGCAAAAUUCUCUCCUGAUAAUCAGGACUUAUAUGUUCCUCAGAAGUUGAUUUUCAGGAAUUGCUGUGGUUGAAAAAUAGACUUCCUGUCUCAGCUGGAUUGGUCCUUAGAUAACAGGCAUGUAACCCUGAAGUCUCUUUAUUCGAUAGAUUCUAACCCAGAGGCUCCUUGAAAUCCAUGAAUGGGAAGGAGGAGCACAUUAGUGGAGAUAAACUUCAAGGUUGCCACUCUGAUAAUGCAGUUUAAUUUAUAGGUCAGGUAAUUCAGGGGCAGCUAGAGGGCACAGUGGAUAUAACACCGAGCCUGGAGUCAGAAAGACUCUUCUUCCUUAGUUCCUGAGUCUAGCAUUAGACACCUACAAGUUAUGUGACUUUCUGCCUCAGUGUCCUCAUCUGUAAAAUGAGCUGAAGAAGGAAAUGGUAAAUCACUCCAGUAUCAUUGCCAAGAAAAUGCCAAAUGGGCCCAUAAAGAAUUGAACACAAGUGAAAACAAUUGAACAAGAACAAUGCAGUUUAUUUUCUUAAUUAAAACUUUUUAUUUUCAAAACAUAUGCAUGGAUAAUUUUUCAACAUUGACUCUUGCAAAACCUUGUGCUCCAAAUUUUCCCUUCUUUCCCCCCACCUCCUCCCUUAGAUGGCAAGUUAUCCAAUAUGUUAUACAUGUUAAAAUAUAUGUUAAAUUCAAUAUAUAUAAACAUAUUUAUACAAUUUCUUGCUGCACACACACACACAAAUCAGAUCAAAAAGGGAAAAAAUGAGAAAGAAAACAAAAUGCAAAUAAACAACAAAAAAGAGUGAAAAUGCUAUAUUGUGAUCCACACUCAGUUCCCACAGUCCUCUCUCUGGAUGUAGAUGGCUAUUGAUCAUCAUAUAAUAUUGCUGUUGCUGUGUACAAUGAUCAGUUCAUAUAAUUCUCUCCAGGCCUCUCUAAAAUCAUCCUGCGGGUCAUUUCUCACAGAACAAUAAUAGUCCAUAACAUUCACAUACCAUCACUUAUUCAGCCAUUCUCCAACUGAUGGGCAUCCAUUCAGUUUCCAGUUUCUUGCCACUACAAAAAGGGCUGCCACAAACAUUCUUGUGUAUGUGGGUCCCUUUCCCUUCUUUAUGAUCUCUUUGAGUUAUAAGCCCAAUAGAAACACUGCUGGAUCAAAUGGUAUGCAAAGUUUGAUGACUUUUUGAGCAUAGUUCCAAAUUUCUCUCCAGAAUGGCUGGAUCUGUUCAUAGGUCCACCAAGGUAUUAGUGUCCCAGUUUUCCUACAUCCCCUCCAACAGUUGUCAUUAUCUUUUCCUGUCACCUUAGCCAGUCUGAAAGGUGUGUAGUGAUACCUCAGAAUCAUCUUAAUUCGCAUUUUCCUAAUCAAUAGUGAUUUAUAGUAAUUUUUCAUAUGACCAGAAAUGGUUUUAAUUUCAUCAUAUGAAAAUUGUCUGUCAUAUCCUUUGACCAUUUAUCAAUUGGAGAGUGGCUUGAAUUCUUAUAAAUUUAAGUCAAUUCUCUAUAUAUUUUAGAAAUGAGGCCUUUAUCAGAACCCUUAAAUGUAAAAAUAUUUCCCCAAUUUAUUGUUUCCCUUCUAAUCUUGUCUGCAUUAGUUUUGUGUGCACAAAAACUUUUAAACUUUAUAAUCAAAAUUAUCUAUUUGGUGUUCAAUUAUGAGUUCUAGUUCUUAUUUGGCCACAAAUUCCUUUCUUCUCUACAGAUCUGAGAGGUAAAAUAUCCUAUGUUCUUCUAAUUUGCCCAUAAUAUCACUCUUUAUGUCUAAAUUAUGAACUCAUUUUGACCUUAUCUUGGUAUAUGGUGUUAGGUGUGGGUCAAUGCCUAGUUUUUGCCAUACUAGUUUCCAAUUUUCCCAGAAGUUUUUGCCAAGUACUGAGUUCUUAUCCCAAAAGGUGGGGUCUUUGGGUUUGUCAAACACUAGAUUGCUAUAAUUAUUGACUAUUUUGUCCUGUGAACCUAACCUAAUCUACUGAUCAACUAGUAUAUUUCUUAAGUAGUACCAAAUGGUUUUGAUGACCAUUUUUAUGCUUUAUAAAUAUAGUUUAUUUAUAAAUAAUAAACUGCUUUAUUAUUUUAAGCUUUAUAAUAUAAAGUUUUUUUAUUUUAUAAUAAAAAUAAUAUAAUUUUUAUAUUAUAUUAAAUAUAAAUUUAAUUUAGAUCGUAUUGUCAUUUUUAUUAUGUUCGCUAUCUACCCAUGAGCACUUGUUAUUUUUCCAACCGAUUAGAUCUGACUUUAUUUGUGUGGAAAGUGUUUUGUAGUUGUGUUCUUAGAGUCCCUAACUUUCCCUUGGCAGAUAGAUUCCCAAAUAUUUUACACUAUUGACAGUUAUUUUGAAUGGAAUUUCUCUUUGUAUCUCUUACCUUUGGACUUUGUUAGUAACACAGCAGUUUAAAAUUAAGUAGUGGUACUGAUGCUAAAGAGGUGUGUUUCACCUUCUCUAGAAUCUCUUCGAAUUUAGAAUCUUUUAAAACUGAGAAUCAAAAAAAUUUUACAAUUGGAUUAUACUUUCAGUUCUAUCAAGAAUCCAAAGAGAAUGAGAACAGUUCACUGAGACUUCUGACUUGCUAUAGCAACCCCAUCUCCCAGGCUUAUUAUCUACAUGGAUUAACAUGUUGUGAGGAGAAACAAAGAUUUAGACAUUCAUAGAGAAUAUAGAUUGCCUGAUUAAACAUGCAAAUUAAGUUUAAGACCAGUAACCUAGGUAACAUCGUACCCAAUAUGUGAAUUGAGUUCUAUAGCCUCCCUGAGAAAUGACCAUCCAGGCUUUCCUUGGAUACUUUUAGUAUAAAGAAUUCACUGCCUUAUAAAGCUUCUCUGGUUAGAGAGUUUUCUUAUGCUAAAUCAAAUUUUUAUAAAGUCUGUGUUUUGCUUCUAAUUCUACUUACAGAAGCAACUCACAUAUACACACAAACAUCUUUGAGAUAUUUGGAAUGAUGCUCAGGCCCAUAUUCUUCUGCUGAAUUUUUACCUACUUUUUAAAGCCCAACUUAAACCUUAACCUUCCUCUCUACUCACUAACACUUUAAAAAAUAACUUUGUAACAUAUUACCAAGUAGAACAUCCACUUUUGGGCCACUUCCCCACCUCCUUCACAUUGGCAUUUUGGGCAUUCAGAAAGUAGGUGGAUGAAACCUGCUCCCCUCAGGGUUCUAGGAGGUGGGGUUUCCAACAAUAUUAAUCAUGAGAUCCUAUCUAGUAUUCUCCUUAUUAUCAAUCUCCUUAUUUUCAACCAGUAUCUUUAUUAUCAAUUUGCUUUUAGAAAAGGGAUUUACUGAAAUGCAAGAGAUAAAACAAGAGAUGCAGUUAUAAAACAUUGCCCUCAAUCCAGACACACACUCUCCCCUUGUCCCUGCAAGCCCCUUUUGAGAAUGGGUUUGGAUUUAAGGUACAAAGGAAAUGAGCACACAAAUAGAGAACAUAUGACGCAGAGGUACCUCAAAAAAAAAUCCUCCUGGCCCUAAAAGAACAUUUCUCCUUUCAUGAGAGUACUUAUGAGAUUAAUGGAGUUUAGGUAGCUAUCUGCUGAGUUCUGAGGAUCAGUAUUUUUCUUUUUUGAUUUUUUAUGUUGUUUCUUGUUGUGUUGCUUGUUUUGGGGGUUUUUUGUUUAUUUUUAGUGAGGCAAUGGAAAUUAAGUGACUUAUUCAGGGUCACACAGCUAAGUCAAGUAUGUAGGAUUUGAACUCGGGUCCUCCUGACUCAAGCCAGUGCUCUAUCCACUGUGUCACUUAGCUGCCUUUAUGGAUCAAUAUCCUUCUCAAAUUCAUAUCUUGCAUUUCUUAUUACAAGUGGUCAAGAACCUGCCAUCUGCCACCAUCCCACCUUUCUUUCCAUCUCCAUUUUUAGGCAUUUCUUCUGUCAUUGGUCAUUACCACUUUAGCAGAUUCUACUAGUGAUUCUGAGUCUAAUGAGUCAUUAGUCCUUCCAAUGAUAUCAACACAUAUUACUAACUCUGAAUUAUCAGGAUCAAAAAGAGCUUCCAAAGCUCUCUAUAUUGGAUUGGCAGCAGAGAAAAAUCUGAGUGCUUCACCUAGUUUAAAAGAAUGGAAAAUCCAAGUUGGAUCCAAGUCUCCCUAUUCUAAGAACUUUAUUUUACACUUGAAUUCUGCUUUCUAGGUAAAUGUUGAUUCACUAAUUGAUUCUCUGAAUGUGAUUGUUCAAUCAAAUGGGAAUCCAUAAGAGUACUGAGACUCAGAAAGAUUAAGUAAGUGCUAGUAUUGGGAUUCGAGCCCACUGAAGUCAGUUCUACUGCUCAUUUUCCAAGAUGGCAUCCAGUUCAUGGGACACAAUUUUGCCAUCUCAUCCAAAUAGAAGACUUGACAAAUUAUUUUUUUAGUUUGCUUUGACACAUCCCCAGUUCUAAGCAACAAUAAAUAAAAAAAUAAACUCUUUUGGCAGGGAAUUUGUUAGCACUCUUUAGGAUGCUGGGAAAUAUUGUAGAAUCUGUAGAGUAUCACAGAACUCCAGUUUAAUUUCCCUACUUGAAAAGCCUGUAAACUAUUAUAUGGGCAGCUAGAUGAUGUUGUGGAUAGAGUGCUUGUCCUGGAAUUAGGAAAACAUCCUGAGUUCAAAUUUGACCUCACUUUCUAGUUAUAUGACUCUGAACAAGUCACAUAAUCUUCUUUGCCUCAGUUUCCUUGUCUGUAAAAUGCGUGGAAAAGGAAAUGGCAAACCACUCCAGUAUUUUUGUUAAGAAAAGCCCAAAUGUGAUCACAAAGUAUCAGAUACUUCUUAAACUGAGUAACAAAAUGUUGAGACUGAACUAAAUACAUAGUGUCAAACUCAAACAAAAAUGAGAGCCACUAAGCCUCACAUAAGAAUCUCUGUCAGCUUCAUACUAACAUAGAAAACCACAUGUUAACAUUAUUUAUAUUCUAUUAUAUUUUUACUUUUUUCCCCUUUUUUGGUAAGGCAAUUGGGAUUAAGUGACUUGCCCAGGGUAACACUGCUAGAAAGUGUUAAGUAAGUGUCUAAGGUCACAUUUGAACUCAGGUCUUCCUGACUUUUGGGAUGGUGCUCUAUUCACUAUACAGCUAGCUGCCCCAUAUUUUUAUUUUUUAAAAUAUUUAUCAAUUAUAUUUGAAUGUGUUUGGGCUACAUCCCCAUUUCCUUCUCUCCCUCCCCAAUGUCAUCAGGGCCAACACAGAUUUUUUGACACCUUUGGAUUAGAAUACCUCUCAAGUUAUUUGUACCUCUAAAUCCAUGAUUCUAUGAUUAAUCCCUAUUAAAUUUCAUCUUAUUAUGUUCAACCAAUUCUCUACCCUAUCAAGAUCAUUUUAAAUCUUAAAUCUGACAUCCAAUGAAUUAGCUAUCCCUUCCAACUUUGUAUCAUCUGAAAAGUUUAUAUGCAAAUCAUCUAUCUAUAUCUUUAGCCAAGUCAUUAAUGAACACAUUAAACCGCACAGGGUCAGAAAAAAGAAGAGGCAACUUGAUUAAUAGACAGAGUACUGCUUGGCUAUACAUACUUUCCAAAUAGAGUUAUUCCUUCCACAUUGCAGGAACUAGGGACACAAGUACCCCUACGACCUAGAAAAUCCAUGUAAAACUUUUUGGCUCUCCCUUUGUACUAUAGAAGAAGUCUGAAUUAUUAUGGUACUAAAAGAUAAAUUGAUAUUAUACAAUACUAUACAUAUAUUUUAUGUACUUUUGAGUUUCUAAACUUUUUCUUUGUUGUCUUCUGGCCUUCAUGUGUCAUCUGCAAAUUCCCCAAAAUUUCUCACUUAAUUUCUUAUGCUGACCCACAAUGGAAAAGUUGCAGUGUGAAAGGAUUAACUAUAUAACAAAAUAUGUAUAUCUAUCAAAAGAUAUCACUUGACUUUCUCCUGUCCCUCCUUAAACUUCACCAAAGAAAGGGUUCUUCUUUCCAGCCACCUACUUUUUGGGUAGUUUCAUUUAUUUCUAAAAUCUCAAUUGACUUUAUUAUUUGGUAAUCCUGGCACACCUUCAUCUCAAGUUUAGAAAUUCUUUUAAGCAUUUUCUUUUUUUCUCAAAUUAGCACUUCCAAUUAAACACCAACGUCCUGUCUCUGCAGUUCCUGGUGGUUCCUGACUUGUUCCUCUAGCUGAGAAGGUUGGUCUGAUUUUCACUUUCAGUAAAUAUACUUCUCUGCUCCAGAAAAUAUGAAUUCUUAAAUGCUUAUACAUGUUCGUAACCUGCCACUCCAAUGAUGCAUAUCCUGUUAUGGCUAUUUGCACUACAGAAGAUUCUCUGAUAUCCCUCUAGAUCUGUUUCAAUAAGCUAGGAAAUCCUUUGAUCACAUCACUGAUCUUUGCAACAUUAAAUCCUUGUUAGAGACAAGUGUUUUGGUAAAAGUCAGCUGCGAGGUUGAUUCCUCUCCUCAGUAAUUUAUUUUGAGUCGUUAGAAGGAUCUAUGCUUCAGCAGGAGACCAUCUGCUGCUCUAGAAAAGACCCAUAGAGAAGCCACAAACAGAAGCAACAUCAAGUUUAAUAGCUUACACACAUGGGUUUACAGGUCAAUUCACCCUAAUUUGGCACUGCUUUUAACCACCACAUCUUAUAAAGCCAAAUUCAAAAGCAUCAAUUUGAACAUUGCCUGCUACUAGAGAAGCCAAAUAAUUAAGUUUGGGUCAUGACUUUAUAUAUCAGGAAACAUGAUCCUAUUUUUCAGAACUGGUGGUCCAGGGUUCUCUUUCUACUUCUGCCACUGUUUCAUGGGACCUGAGGUCAGUGGUUCUUAUCCUAUUCUUUCUUUUAAAAAAUACUAAGGGAGCUUAAAAUAGAAAAGGGGUUUUUUCCCCUAAUGAUCCCACAAAUUUGACUCAAAGAAAUAUUAAGCACCUAUUAUGUGCAAGAUGAUGCUAGGAGUAUGUGUAAUUUGUUAAUUACAAAUUACAGAGGAUUUAUAAUCUAAAGAGCUCUUAUAGGUUAUUUAGUCCAAGCCCCUGGUUUUACAGAUGAUAAAAUGGAGAUCAAGAGACUCAGGGAGGUUAAGUAACUAGGUAGUAAGUGAUAGAGUCACAUUUGAACCGAUAUCUUUUGAAUCCAAAUCUAGUGAUUUUUACUUUUUAUUCUUUUUACUACAAUCUCUUGCUUCCAAACCCACCAUUCCCUACUACACUGUGCUAGGUUCAAAUGAUGAAAGUCAUCAUGGAAUUAAAUGUAUGACAGAGACCAAUAUCCUAGUAAAAACUUACCAGCAGCCUUCCCUUCAGAAUUUGGGGUUGGUUGGUGCAUUAGAGGGAAGGAAAGACUGGGAAACUCAUAGAAAAAGGGAAGAGAGAGGGGAAAAAAGUGAGGUAGAGUUGCAUAAGAAGGAAGAUAGAGAAAAAAUUGGAUCAAUCCUAAAUGACCCAAUUCAUUUCAUUUCAAGAGACAUUUAUUAAAGAACCAAUAUUUGAAAGACACUAUGAUGAAUCUUGAGGAUAGAAAGACAAUAAUUUGACAUGCAAAACCACCCCAAGAAGCCUUAUAACUCAUCCAACAUUCACAACUACCUCUCUGGUGAUCAAAUUCCUAUGUUCUCAACUGCUCUAGCUUAAUCUCUAAUUAUUCAGGGAUAAAUUCUCCCCAUUUAUCUCAUUGUUUUUCCCUUCAACUCUCCUAUUACCCUAUCUUACUCCAACUCUGCCCACCCUUUCCAUUGUAGAACCCAUUUCAUAAACAAAAACAAAAACAAAAACAAAAAACAAAAAAACACUUCCCUUCAUCCUGGCUCCUUUCCAUUUAUACCCCUUUCGUUUAUUUCCCCCAAAUAAUACUGCUCCCUUGACUUCAAACUAUACCACAAUCUUCAACAGUAGCUGUACACACUCUGAACUUACUCCCAACACACUGGUCCUUGAGAGAGGGUCAAAAUAUUCCAGAUUCCCCAUUGCAACUUUAAGACUACACAUGUUCCUAUCACUCCACAGCCACUCUAUUAAAAUUUUUCAUCUUUUUAAUCAUAAUGUUUAUCGCCUUAUAGUUCUCAGGUUAUUCUCCUUCUCUCAAAAAUUUGGCAUCUAGCUCAUCUAGCUCUCUUCUUCAACUCAUCCUUAUAUUAAGGGACUUCAGUUUUCAUAUAAGUGCUCCUUCAACUAUGUUAACCUCCAAGUUACUCAGUCUCCUCAGAACCUACUCCUCUAGUUGAACACUACCAUGAAUAGAAUACUGGGCCUGGAGUCAAAAAGACCUGAGUUCAAAUCCAAAUUCAGAUACUUACCCUGAGCAAAGUGGCUUAACAUCUAUCAAUCUUAAUUGUGAAAUGGAGAUAAUAAUAGCAACUCCUUUAGAGUGUUGUUUCACGGAUCAAAUGAAAUAUUUGUAAAGUGCUUAGCAUAGCUUAUUAGCUGGAUGGUAUAGUGGAUGGAGAGCCAGACCUGGAAUCAGAAAGUCUCUUCUUCUUGAGUUUAAAUCCAACCUCAGCCACUUACUUGCUGUAUGAUCUUGGACAAAUCACUUAACCUUAUUUGCCUUGAUUCCUCUCUUGAAAAUGAACUGGAGAAGGAAAUGGCAGACCAUUCCAGAAUCUUUGCCAAGAAAACCCCAAGUAGGAUCAUGAAGAGUUGAACAUGAUUGAAAAACAACUGAACAAUUAGCAUAAUGUCUGGCACAUAGUAGGUGCUUAAUAAAUCUGUAUUCUCUUCUCCCCCUCCACCAUAUCAUAAACAGAAAUGACUGCACCCUGAUUCUUAUCAUUACCCAAGUGUUCCACCUUCUUCAUCACAUUCUGAAAUUCCUGUCAAACUAUAACCUACCAUUCCUUUUCUCCCCAUACUCAUCCCUCAUAAACCUGUUUUUCAAAUCCUUAUUGCAAACCCCAAUCUCUCUAUCCUUCAGUCCUUUCUCAAAUAAUUCAUUACUCCUGCUUUGAGUUCAUUUUCUUUUCUUCCUAAUUUCAACCUUAUGAUUAGCAAAGAAUCCAAUUCCAUACUGCCCUCUACCUUCAUUUACUCACCCCAAUUUUCAACCAGUUCACUUCUUGCAAAAUCUAAGCUCUGGACUACUACCUGUCUUCUCCAUUCCUACUCACAUACUAAUGACUGUAAGUAAAAGUCACAUGUUCAUGUGUUAUCUCAUGUGUUAUCUUACCCAACUGGUACCUGAAUGAGAUGUGCUAAUACUUCACUUCUUUCUUAGCUGAUUCACUAUUUCAUUUACUGCAGAAAUAUUCCCACACUCACUCUUGUCUUCUAAAGUCUCUCACAAUUUCCUCUCCCAUUCUUACUCUGUCAACUAAGGAUUCUGCCUUUUACAUUACUGCAAAAAUAAAAGUCAUUCACCAUGAACUCCCAAACUCCUUAAUAUUAUUGCUUACUCUCACCUUUCCUCCAGCCUCUAAUAAUGAGCUAUCAAGGAAGAAAUUGGCAACUCUAACCAGAGAUUAGUGGGUUUAGAAGAAAAAGAUAGACACUUCACAUUAACAGUAGAGCCUCUGAAAAAAGAAAAAACAGAACUGAGGCACAAAAAUUCAAAGGUAGAGGAAAAAUAAUGAAACAAAAUUGAAAGAAAAAAUAGAAAAGAUAAUAUGUAUGAAAACUCUACAGAAUGAGCAUAGUGAAUGUAAAAAUCAUAUGUGAAGGAAAUCUAAGUAUUAUCGCUCUUCUAGAAGAAAAAAAACAUGAAAUGUCACUU